AACGAACGUUAGCGGCGCGCUUAACACAUGCAAGUCGUGCGAGAAAGGGGCAACCCCGGUAAAGCGGCGCACGGGUGAGUAACACGUAGGUAAUCUACCUCCAGGUGGUGGAUAACCUUCCGAAAGGAGGGCUAAUACAGCAUGAGACCACGGGCCCGCAAGGGACUGAGGUCAAAGUCGGCCUCUUCAUGAAAGCUGACGCCAGGAGAUGAGCCUGCGGCCCAUCAGCUAGUUGGCAGGGUAACGGCCUACCAAGGCGAAGACGGGUAG
rnacentral:rRNA from 1 species